GUCCACGCCCGCCCUGGCUUGUAGCAGCAGCCGUACCAACUCCACCUGACCCAGGUAGGCAGCCACUUGCAGAGCGGUCCUGCCUUGGUUCUUGAUGUCCACCUGCCAGGAGAGCCAGCAGCCUGCAGCCGCUUCACCGUGUCAAGGUCGCCGAUGACCCGGACCACAUCGCCCACCCAGAAGGAGUGGUGCUGAGCGACAGAGAGGGGCGUGAGGGGCCCCCCAGCUGUGUGUGGCUGCCCAGGCUCAUGGAGCACAGGAGGGAACCCGCUGAGCUCCACAAGACAGGCAGGCCUGACCCGGCCCCGGCCCCAAGCACUGCCAGAGGCUCUGGCUGGACGAGAGCCCCAGGUGCCUGGUAUCCAGGACCCCAGAUCCAGAUUUGAGCUCUGACGCUUUGCCCUGGACCUGCCCCUCCCAGGGCCAUCCAAGCUGCCACCGCCACCGCCUCCCGCCCCUUCCCUGCCAUCCUGCUUCCCAGGCAGCCCUCACUACCUCCCAUACCACUAGGGUGGUAGGGACCGCCACCCUAGGCCAAACGUGCACCUCCCAGUCCUAACCAGCCACCCCCAUCGGCCCCCAUACAGCACUAACCAGGAGCAUCUUAGCCCAGCUGCCUCCCUCCCGCCCACGAAGCUGUCCUGCCUUCCUGGUGUCCUGGAACCGAGAGAGGCCCUAACCUGCCCAUACCAGCCACGCCAGCUCCCAGAGACAUACCCUCCUCUGGGUUCCUUCACAUCCAACCCCCUCUUCUCCUUGACCCCACCCACCAGUCCCUACCCUUCCUUCAGGGCUGGGGACUCGUGGGUACAGCUGGCACCCUAGUCCUGCCUGACCCCCCGAGGCCGAGUGGAUACAUGGAAGGGGUUACAGAAGCAAACAGAUGGGGUGCAGCCCAGCCCCCCAGGCACCUUGGACGUCAGUGUCCAGUAGACAUUUGACCUUGUCCCCGUGCUGGAAGGGCUGACCGUCAGCACUCACCCUGCGCUGCAGCUCGGCCGGCUUGCCUGGGGGAGGGUGGCAGGCCUCAGGCAGCAGUCCCUCCCCUCUGGGACUUCAGCCAGAGUAGGAGGGCUGAUGGGGUCAGUAGGACAGCCUCAUACCAAGCCUUGGGAGGUGGUCCUUGUAGUAGAAGCCGCCCGCUGCCUCGCCCACACACUUGAGGUCCACCUUGCCCUUGUGGCCCACACGGUACACGUUCGUGGUACCAUCAGCCCACGUCACGCUGGCCACACUCCGGCCUGUCUCCACAUCCCAGCCACGGAUGUCCACCACACGGCCUGGUUUCCCUUCCCCUCCUGGGGAAAGAGUCCCCACCAGCAGGCUAAGGCUGUGCCUUGAGGCUGAGCCAUGAGCCAGCCACAGCCAGGCCCUGCCCUCUGCCCCUCUGCCCCUCUGCCUCCACUCACCAUCCUGUGAGCCCCACUCCCAGUCGGGGCCUCGCACCACCUUUGCUCCCUGGAAGAUGCCCCUUAGUGGGAUCCUCAGGAGGCCCUGGCGGGGACUCAGCGUGACACUGCAAGAGGGUUCACAAAUAAAGCUCUCGGAAGAAAACUGCCGUCUCUUCCCAUCCUGAGCCACUCGGGAGAGCCUGGGAAUGGCCGGCCCAGCAGGGAGGGCCAGAGACAAGGGUGACAAUGCAGGAGACGCAGUGGCAUCUCUGGCUGCCUUUGCCCCAAGCAGGCUAGAUUCUCCCCCAGCUGAUGCCCUCGGACCAGAGCGCAGCAGCCUCCACGGCAGCCCAGGGGCUGGCUCCAGGUAUGGACAGUCCUCCCGGAGGUCUCAUGCCUCCCUGGGGGA